rnacentral:rRNA from 1 species
GAGUUUGAUCCUGGCUCAGAUUGAACGCUGGCGGCAGGCCUAACACAUGCAAGUCGAGCGGCAGCGGGAAGAUAGCUUGCUAUCUUCGCCGACGAGCGGCGGACGGGUGAGUAAUACCUGGGGAUCUGCCCAAUCGAGGGGGAUAACAGUUGGAAACGACUGCUAAUACCGCAUACGCCCUACGGGGGAAAGGAGGGGACCUUCGGGCCUUCCGCGAUUGGAUGAACCCAGGCGGGAUUAGCUAGUAGGUGAGGUAAUGGCUCACCUAGGCGACGAUCCCUAGCUGUUCUGAGAGGAUGGACAGCCACACUGGAACUGAGACACGGUCCAGACUCCUACGGGAGGCAGCAGUGGGGAAUAUUGGACAAUGGGGGAAACCCUGAUCCAGCCAUGCCGCGUGUGUGAAGAAGGCCUUCGGGUUGUAAAGCACUUUCAGUGGGGAGGAAAGGUUGAUGGUUAAUACCUAUCAGCUGUGACGUUACCCACAGAAGAAGCACCGGCUAACUCCGUGCCAGCAGCCGCGGUAAUACGGAGGGUGCAAGCGUUAAUCGGAAUUACUGGGCGUAAAGCGUGCGCAGGCGGUCUGUUAAGCGAGAUGUGAAAGCCCCGGGCUCAACCUGGGAACUGCAUUUUCGAAACUGGCAGACUANAGUCUUGUAAAAGGGGGGUAGAAUUUCCAGGNGUU